rnacentral:rRNA from 1 species
AUGUCAGACCCAAACCGGUACCGAAGAGAGAAAAGAAAAAACAUGACCGCCCUGCACGACCCUGCCUCGUCGAUCUCAUCUCCACCUCCAUCCCCAAACGACGGCGAUGAUCGAGGGCGCCGCCCCAGCUCCUGGCUGACGGAUUCGCCGGCUCCCCGCUCCUUGGGGCUAGCCCCUCCCACGGCGACGAUGGAGGGCGCUGCCCAGUUCCCGGCCGAUGGAUAUGCCGGCUCCCCUCUUCUCGGGGCCAGCCCCUCCCCCGUGCCGGGUCGAGCCUCGGCUUGGAGGCCCUUGGGGCUGCCGUCGGUGCGGGAGUCCCGCGCGGCCAUGCGGGCUGGGGACCGAGCGGCGGGCUGGCCACCUGUGCCCUGUCUACCCUGCUGCUGA